rnacentral:rRNA from 1 species
AGAGUUUGAUCCUGGCUCAGGACGAACGCUGGCGGCGCGCCUAAUGCAUGCAAGUCGAGCGACGCAUUCCUUAGCCCGUAAGGGCGGGUAUGACGGAGCGGCGAACGGGUGCGUAACACGUGACUAAUCUGCCCCGAAGACCGGGAUAGCCCGGGGAAACCCGGAUUAAUACCGGAUGACCUCACCGCAACUCAUGUUGUGGUGAGCAAAGGUUCAGGCGCUUCGGGAUGAGGUCGCGGCCCAUCAGCUAGUUGGUGAGGUAAUGGCUCACCAAGGCAACGACGGGUAGCUGGUCUGAGAGGACGAUCAGCCACACUGGAACUGAGAUACGGUCCAGACUCCUACGGGAGGCAGCAGCAGGGAAUCUUGCGCAAUGGGCGAAAGCCUGACGCAGCGACGCCGCGUGGGGGAUGAAGGCCUUAGGGUUGUAAACCCCUUUCACGAGGGAAGAAACUGACGGUACCUCGAGAAGAAGCCCCGGCCAACUACGUGCCAGCAGCCGCGGUAAUACGUAGGGGGCGAGCGUUGUCCGGAUUUAUUGGGCGUAAAGGGCUCGUAGGCGGCUCGACAAGUCGGCCGUGAAAACCCAGGGCUCAACCCUGGGACGCCGGUCGAUACUGUCAUGGCUAGGGUCCGGUAGAGGGGAAUGGAAUUCCCGGUGUAGCGGUGAAAUGCGCAGAUAUCGGGAGGAACACCAGUAGCGAAGGCGGUUCCCUGGGCCGGUACCGACGCUGAGGAGCGAAAGCGUGGGUAGCAAACAGGAUUAGAUACCCUGGUAGUCCACGCCGUAAACGUUGGGUACUAGGCGUGGCGUCUUAUCAACGGAUGCCGUGCUCGAAGCUAACGCGUUAAGUACCCCGCCUGGGGAGUACGGCCGCAAGGCUAAAACUCAAAGGAAUUGACGGGAGCCCGCACAAGCGGCGGAGCAUGCGGCUUAAUUCGAUGCAACCCGAAGAACCUUACCUGGGCUUGACAUCACGGGAAAAACCCUGGAGACAGGGUGUGCGAAGCGUCCGUGACAGGUGGUGCAUGGCUGUCGUCAGCUCGUG